GGAGAUGUAGCACAGAUGGUAAAACGUUUGUUAAGCAUGCAAAAGGUCACGGGUUCGAUCUCUCAUGUCUCCA